rnacentral:tRNA from 1 species
GUUUUUUCAAAGAAAAACAUGCAUUUCAAGGCGCUAUGGAUUUCAAAGACCAUGGAUUUACUCAGAACUUAUGGGUUUUAAAAAAGGCUUUAAAAGGAAAUAACUAAAAAACUUUUCCAGUAAUUUAAGAUGAUACCGGGGAAGGUUUUCCGGUUUAUCCCGGAGGGCUUGUAGCUCAGUUGGUUAGAGCGCGCGCUUGAUAAGCGUGAGGUCGGAGGUUCAAGUCCUCCCAGGCCCACCAAUUUAUGCUCGUUUUUUGCUUAUCCAAGAGUAUAAAGCUUAAGCGUAUUAAAGCCUCUUCAAUCUUUGUUUAUUUUUAAAGAUUUUAUUUUAUCAUUCAGAGAUUGUUUGUUAAAUUUAUCCCAUUAAGCUUCCAAAGAGGCUUUGUCCCUUCAGUGGUACAGAUAAAUUUACAUGAUACAAAUCAAAACAGGACAGGUAAUUCAAGUUGAUGAAUUUGGUUAUGGUUGAUUUGAGAGAGCAUUAUUUAGGGGCCGUAGCUCAGCUGGGAGAGCACCUGCUUUGCAAGCAGGGGGUCGUCGGUUCGAUCCCGUCCGGCUCCACCAUUUGGUCAUCAUCGUGUUGUGAGAACACGGUUUAGUAAGGGGGGUUAUACCCUUUUGCUUGUUCUAUUGAAAUUGUGAAGAGAAGAUAUAUUCAGACAUGUUCCUUUUUUAAGGUUCCUUCUGAGGUGCAAGUUUUUAG